AUACUUACCUGGCAGGGGAGAUGCCAUGCUCACGAAGGUGGUUUUCCCAGGGCAAGGCUUACCCAUUGCACUCUCAAUGUGUGUCUGACCCCUGAGAUUUCCCAGAUGUGGAAAACUCGGCUGCACAGUUUGUGGUAGUGGGGGACUGUAUUCGUGCUCUCCCCUG
ensembl:snRNA U1 U1 spliceosomal RNA